UACGGGGGGAGCAAGCGUUGUUCGGAUUUACUGGGCGUAAAGGGCGCGUAGGCGGCCUCUGCAAGUCGACUGUGAAAUCUCCGGGCUUAACCCGGAAAGGUCAGCCGAUACUGCAGGGCUAGAGUGCAGAAGGGGCAACUGGAAUUCUUGGUGUAGCGGUGAAAUGCGUAGAUAUCAAGAGGAACACCUGGGGUGAAGACGGGUUGCUGGGCUGACACUGACGCUGAGGCGCGAAAGCCAGGGGAGCAAACGGG
rnacentral:rRNA from 1 species